ensembl:snoRNA Gm23605 predicted gene, 23605
CUUGCCACUACAUGUUGCCAGUAUGGCUGCUGUGUCACAUGAGUCAGUAGAUGUAUAGAGGACAACGGUUAUGUCUACGCUUGGUGUUCUGACCUGUGAACAUCAGAAAGCUUAACAUUUCCUGAAU